CUCCCAUAAAUGUUCCUACUAAUGCCUUUUGCGUCCACCCGUGCACUCGGUUGCCCAACCUCUUGAGCUCCUUUUGGUAGUCUCGCAAGGAACCUACCUGUUUGACCCGUGAUAGUGCUUCGUCAAAGUCUUCACAUUCUGUAGGUCCAAAACGAGCCCACAGCUCUUCCUCAAAAAUUUCCCAUGUCACCAAUCGCUCAUCCUCUUUGUAUGCUCGGUGCAACCAUUGCCACCAUUGGUUGGCUUCAACUUAAAGGUGAAAUGAUGCCAAGGAUACCUUUUGUGCUUCCGGAGUGCCUUGAUACUCAAGAAACUGACUAACUCAGUUCAACCACUCAGUAGGAUCGUCGCCGGAAUAACGAGGAAACUCAAGUUUUGCCAUUUUAGAGGAAAAAAUUGAACGACCUCUGUCAUUAUCAUCUCUGUUGGUAGAAAAGCCAUCUCGUUCUGUGUUGUGGUGCCUAGGGGAUUCUCUAUGGGAUAGCAUAGCUUCCGAAAGUCGAUUGAUGGUCUCCUCCAACUGGUUCAACUUAUCAGCCUCACCACAUUCCAUCUGUUGUAUCCUGUCUCGAACUCGGCUGAGUCUAGCCUCCAAAACUUCAAUCCUUUCUUUGUUGGAUGCCAUGGUGAUUAAGCUCUAAUACCAUUGAUAUGUUCCAGUCAAAGCUAUUAGAAUGGCAGCGUAGAUAGAAUUCUACUUCGGGUGAGAAUGAACCACAAUAAUUUUAUUUUCAAUACCCCCCUCUUACUGCAACUGGAGGAGUUUAAAUACAUAAAGAAAAACUGCCUUCCGGAAACCUUGACCUCUGCUCUUAAAGUAAGAACUCCACAAAUACACGUAAAUUAAUAACUAACAAUUACCCAAAUAACAAAAUAAUAGAUAACAAUUAUUGGACCAGUGGAACUUUGCCAACAAUUCCUCAAUAGCUCCAAUCCAUUCUUCCACGAUCCACGUAUCCAGCAUGUCUAACAGAACCUCAUACUAUAAACCUUGGAUUCUUGAUGGGAACACGUUGUGAUUGUCUUGGUUUAUCAAUUCAUCAUCCAUUUCUUGAAGUUCGAUUUGUUCAGUCACUACUAAUGUCACAUUUUUUUCGAUUGAACAUCUUCACCUUCACCAGAUGAUAUGUCGUUGUCUGAAUUAUUGAAGUCUGGAUCAUCCUCCGCAUCUGUCACAAAAAAUAGGAAAUUCAGGACUGACCAAAAAAUAUGAUAUAUGAACUCUUCAGGCCACUUUAUAAAAAAAAUAUAUACUUCUAAACAUGUAGUGAAAUAUAACUCAUCUGGCCACUUUACAAAAAUAUGCUUCUAAACAUGUAUCAGUUUUGUAUAUUUUGUAUUGACGAAACAACUGAAACGGACAACUAGAGGAUUUAUCUGAAACUUCCAGCUUUGGUUGUAGUUUGCUGAAUCAUAAUCUGUAAACUAAUGCAUACUUUGAAACAAUUAAACAACCUAAAAUCUUAACAUGUGCCCAGAUUACCGUGAAACCCAUUCUUUGAGACCCACCUCACCACAACAAUACCGUGAAACCCAUUCUUUGACACAACAAAAUAGUUCGGAAUUUACCUCAAUGUGCGAUUCUUUGGAGAUUAAAGGGGUGUAUUCAAUCGAGACUUUUAAUGACUUUUUGAGAUUUAAAAAGUUUAGGAGUAUUCAAUUGAGAUUUUUAUAAACUUUUAAGAAAUAUCUAAAAAUCACGGUGUAUUCAAUUGAGACUUUUAUACACUUUUUGAUGCAGGAACACACAAAUUGAUAAAGAAUAAUUAGAAGAAAGGGG
rnacentral:lncRNA from 1 species